GCCGCCUUUGGCUUAGAAGUUCCCCCAUACAGACGCUUCAUUUAAUUUCUUUGCUUCUCUGUGUCUUAGUUUCCCCACAUGGAUCAGACCUUGUCAAACAGGCAGCUCGGGGCUGCCUGAUGGCCCCGGAGAGAAAGCCCAGGGCCCUCUGAGGCCUCACAUGGAGAAUAUCAUCCUAAGCAAAGACGUGGAAGCCGUGAGGGAAAGGCUGACGCACAGAUCACCAGGGGCAGGGGCCGGCGGGUACGGGGACAGAAGCCCAAAGCAAAGCUGUCGACCUGGAGAAGAUCAUUGCAAGGUAUAGACAGAGAAAGAGGCUGAAACAAGAAUGCAGUCAAAGGAACCUGACUGUCAGUGACAGGAGAGAAAGAGCUGCAAGCCAAAACAUGCAAAACCAGCCUUUCAUUGAGGAGAAAAUGAAAAAUACAGAAUGAAAUGAAGGGGAGUUUCAAGAACUUGCAGGAGCCGAGCUUCCUGUGCAAAUGAGAAGCCCGGGGCAGAUGGCGCCCUCGUCAUCCUCGUUAUCGUUGGUGCCCAUGCUGGUGGAUGCAGACCGGCCGCAGUGCAGAGGGUCCGCUUUCCCGCUGCCGUGGACCCAGAACCGCUUGGUGGCAUCCCAGGUGGGCCUGGGAGGGCACAGAACACAGCAGAAUCAGACGCGGGAAGGAGCGACACAUCGCAACAGCGUCUCCGCUGCUGCUGACAGCUUGAAGAUCACGGUCUCCAGCAGCAGGCCCUCUACGCUAAACGUGUCCCCUGAAGUCCGUCGUGGUGCCGGGUGCUGCGGAGGGGGGAGCGAGCCCCUCACAUCGGCGGGACUACCAGCCCAGACAUAGCUGAAAGAGAGAGGCGGCAGCCCAGGGGCCCCCGAAGGCGCGCACAGAAGCUGGGGAGGCGUGGAAGGCACCGGACCCGGAGUCAGAGGAGCACCUCGCAUACCCUCACGUCUGCUCCCCGGAGACCUCCGGAGCAGACCUCCAGCGGGACGAAGGUGGGCCGUGGGUGCCCGUCCUUCCCUCCCAGGCCGGCAGCACCAGCCGUCCACCUACCACGGGACCCCCCGGACGGAUUUCGAGGUGGCUGUUCCCUGUGACAAGGCCUGCUGCUCCGGCUCCCUGACACUGACGUGUGACUUUCUACUCUCAUACCCGGGGUGAGGGUGAAAACAGGAAGGCGAACCUUUCUCCCACCAGACUGAGUGGUCGUGAACGGGUGCGUGUGCGCCCAGAAAACCCGCGGUGGACCCGGGCCAGCUGGCCCCUCCGAGGACACGGUCAGCCUGGGGAGGGGGCAGGCACGUCAGGCUGCCGUCUGCCUACCUGGUUGUUGUGGGGCAUCCCGUAUAAGGCUUCCACAAGAUCCGCCGCCCUCUUGAGUAAUACUUCCUGAAGGAGAAGCAAAGGGGGCAGUGAUGUGACCGGAGGAAGCUGAGCACUGCUCUUCGGAGAAAGAGCUACAUGCGGAUUCACAGUUCCACCUGCCGGGAGAAGAGGCCUCUGCCCCCCCCCCCCCGCCCCCCCCCCCCCCCCGCCGUCCUGACCCUGUGAGGAAGGAAG